rnacentral:rRNA from 1 species
AACGAACGCUGGCGGCAUGCCUAACACAUGCAAGUCGAACGAGACCUUCGGGUCUAGUGGCGCACGGGUGCGUAACGCGUGGGAACCUGCCCUUAGGUUCGGAAUAACUCCCCGAAAGGGGUGCUGAUACCGGAUAAUGUCUUCGGACCAAGGAUUUAUCGCCUUUGGAUGGGCCCGCGUUGGAUUAGCUAGUUGGUAGGGUAAAAGCCUACCAAGGCGACGAUCCAUAGCUGGUCUGAGAGGAUGAUCAGCCACACUGGGACUGAGACACGGCCCAGACUCCUACGGGAGGCAGCAGUGGGGAAUAUUGGACAAUGGGCGAAAGCCUGAUCCAGCAAUGCCGCGUGAGUGAUGAAGGCCUUAGGGUUGUAAAGCUCUUUUACCCGGGAUGAUAAUGACAGUACCGGGAGAAUAAGCUCCGGCUAACUCCGUG